UACGUAGGGUGCGAGCGUUAAUCGGAAUUACUGGGCGUAAAGCGUGCGCAGGCGGUUCGUUAAGUUCGUUGUGAAAGCCCCGGGCUCAACCUGGGAACUGCAAUGGAAACUGGCGGGCUUGAGUAUGGCAGAGGGGGGUGGAAUUCCGCGUGUAGCAGUGAAAUGCGUAGAGAUGCGGAGGAACACCGAUGGCGAAGGCAGCCCCUGGGCCAAUACUGACGCUCAGGCACGAAAGCGUGGGGAGCAAACAGG
rnacentral:rRNA from 1 species